rnacentral:rRNA from 1 species
GACGAACGCUGGCGGCGUGCUUAACACAUGCAAGUCGAACGGUGAAGCGCCUUCCUUUUUGGUGGGUGUGGAUGAGUGGCGAACGGGUGAGUAACACGUGAGUAACCUGCCCCCUUCUUCUGGAUAACCGCAUGAAAGUGUGGCUAAUACGGGAUAUUCUGGGUCUGUCGCAUGAUGGGUCUGGGAAAGAUAUUGUUUCGGUGGGGGAUGGGCUCGCGGCCUAUCAGCUUGUUGGUGGGGUGAUGGCCUACCAAGGCGGUGACGGGUAGCCGGCCUGAGAGGGUGGACGGUCACACUGGGACGGAGACACGGCCCAGACUCCUACGGGAGGCAGCAGUGGGGAAUAGUGCACAAUGGGCGAAAGCCUGAUGCAGCGACGCCGCGUGAGGGAUGGAGGCCUUCGGGUUGUGAACCUCUUUCGCCAGUGAAGCAGGCCUGCCUCGUUUGUGGGUGGGUUGACGGUAGCUGGAUAAGAAGCGCCGGCUAACUACGUG